GUGCCAGCAGCGGCGGUAAUACGUAGGGUGCGAGCGUUAAUCGGAAUUACUGGGCGUAAAGGGUGCGCAGGCGGUUUUGCAAGUCAGAUGUGAAAGCCCCGGGCUUAACCUGGGAAUUGCGUUUGAAACUACAAGGCUAGAGUGCAGCAGAGGGGAGUGGAAUUCCAUGUGUAGCAGUGAAAUGCGUAGAGAUGUGGAAGAACACCGAUGGCGAAGGCAGCUCCCUGGGCUGACACUGACGCUCAUGCACGAAAGCGUGGGGAGCAAACAGGAUUAGAUACCCUGGUAGUCCACGCCCUAAACGAUGUCAACUGGUUGUCGGAUCUAAUUAAGGAUUUGGUAACGUAGCUAACGCGUGAAGUUGACCGCCUGGGGAGUACGGUCGCAAGAUUAAAACUCAAAUGAAUUGACGGGG
rnacentral:rRNA from 1 species